GAGCCUGUAGGCUCAGCUGGCAGAGCGCCUCGCUUACACCGAGGAUGUCGGCGGUUCGAUCCCGUCCAGGCUCA
rnacentral:tRNA from 1 species